rnacentral:snoRNA from 1 species
AACUCUUUGUUCUGUUUUUGUUGGACUUGUAGACAAAGAUUUAGACAGGUGAAAAAAAAUCCUUUUUUUCCAACCUAGAACUUAUUGUUCAAUGCAGCUUUUGAUACAUGUAAGGAGAACUAUU